GGGGCCGACCGGUAUUGACAGCGAGACCAGUUGGAUUGUAAGCAUGCCGAGCUAUGAAAUUAAUGCUCGUUAAUAUCUAUUUCAACCUUUUUAAAUGGCGAUAAUAACUACGCUUUAGCUGCUUAAUUGACUGAAUUACAGUAAGUCCUAGCCUAGUCGCGCCAGGCGCGAAAGCUAAAUGUCCCUUGGUAGCCCUUGUUGACGGCGACCUUUUUUGGGGCACCAUAAAAGUCAACAUAGCGCUUUUGUAGCUUUGACAGAAGUGUAAAAUCUAAAAAGCUAAGGAUACAGUAGGCGGUUUUUGGUCAGCUGUAUCACGAAAACUGAACAAAGACUAAGCAUGUAGAAAGCAAUGCGAUUGCUUGUUUGGACGAGGGUUCGAAUCCCUCCGGCUCCACCA
rnacentral:tmRNA from 1 species